UUGACCGUCAAAUUCAUCGAGCAUCUCAGUGCUUUAAAGUCGGUAGAUAAAGUUGACCCUUUGAAGAUCAAAUAUUACCGACUCAAGCUUGCAAUUGAGGCUUUACGGGGGGAGGCAUAUUUAUGAGAUAUGGGAUGCCUACAACGUGAAGGGCCAGAGUUUUAAAACGGCCAUAGAAGCUGCUUGCCUACUUCUCAGAAUCGAUGACAUUGUGAGUGGGAUGAAGAAGAAGCAGCCUCCUGGUGCCAAAGCUCCUUCCAAGCCUCAAGUUGAGACAGAAGGCGAUGCAGAUAAUGAGCAAAUAAUUCCGGAGUGCUUAUCGAGAGCACGUGGUUAUCUCAGUUUGAAUGAAGUUUUGCUGUAAAGAAGAAAAAAAGGAGCAUUAUAAGUUUGAUGAGGAUAUUUUUUAGGUUUGUAAUGUCACCUUAACUUGGUAGUGUGUGUUUUGUCCCUCUUCUUUCUUUCUCAUUCGACGAGGGGUGGGAAAGAAGAGAAGUCUUCUUAUUGGAGAAUGCUAAUGUUAGUUUCACAUGUCAUCUGUGUAUCGAACACAAUUUCUUUGUUCAACUUCGUGGAUUGGCACA